AGACUUGGCACUGUGCUGCCAACUCCUUAGUAUUACAGUGAUGAGGUUCUGAGGCAGGCUAGCAUAUGGCCAUCAGUCCAGCUGCACUUCUCAGUCCAGGAAAGUGCCUGCAGAAUUCAGGGGCCAAGACCCAACUGACAGACAGUAGCAGAGAUUCCCUGGCCCCAUUGCCCAACCACUGAAACCUGAAGCUUCCGGCCUUCACCCCAGUAAUUCACCAGCUAUGGGGCUUCUUGAGUCAUGAAAGGCAGUGCACCAUGGCCAUCGAGUUCAGUUAGCAGGAGAGCGUUCUUAAAGAGACAGCGCGACCUGGCCGCCCUCGCCUUCUUCCGGGCGUACGCGAUGCUCCCAGUUCAUACUCCACACAAACUGAGAGAGUCCACCUGACGAGCUCUUUC
rnacentral:lncRNA from 1 species